AUUGAACGCUGGCGGCAUGCUUUACACAUGCAAGUCGAACGGCAGCGCGGGCUUCUGCCUGGCGGCGAGUGGCGAACGGGUGAGUAAUACAUCGGAACGUGCCCAGUCGUGGGGGAUAGCUCGACGAAAGCCGGAUUAAUACCGCAUACGACCUGAUGGUGAAAGCGGGGGUUCUUCGGACCUCGCGGUUUUGGCGCGGCCGAUGGCAGAUUAGCUAGUUGGUGGGGUAAAGGCCUACCAAGGCGACGAUCUGUAGCUGGUCUGAGAGGACGACCAGCCACACUGGAACUGAGACACGGCCCAGACUCCUACGGGAGGCAGCAGUGGGGAAUCUUGGACAAUGGGCGAAAGCCUGACCCAGCAAUGCCGCGUGUGUGAUGAAGGCCUUCGGGUUGUAAAGCACUUUUGGCAGGAACGAAAAGGACUGUGCCAAUACCACGGUUCGAUGACGGUACCCGCAGAAUAAGCACCGGCUAACUACGUG
rnacentral:rRNA from 1 species